AUACGGAGGAUCCGAGCGUUAUCCGGAUUUAUUGGGUUUAAAGGGUGCGCAGGCGGCCAUUUAAGUCAGCGGUUAAAUCGUGGGGCUCAACCCCAUUCUGCCGUUGAUACUGGGUGGCUUGAUUGCGGUCGAGGUUGGCGGAAUUCGUUGUGUAGCGGUGAAAUGCAUAGAUAUGACGAAGAACACCGAUUGCGUAGGCAGCUGACCAGACCGCAAAUGACGCUCAUGCACGAAAGUGCGGGGAUCGAACAGGAUUAGAUACCCGGGUAGUCCGCACAGUAAACGAUGAAUACUUGUUUUCGGCGAUAUAAUGUCGGAGGCAAAGCGAAAGCGAUAAGUAUUCCACCUGGGGAGUACGCCGGCAACGGUGAAACUCAAAUGAAUUGACGGGG
rnacentral:rRNA from 1 species